CAAGUAAACGUGCUUCUCAAAUCGCGCUAUUCGUACUAUAUUUUAUCCCCACUAUAUAGACAAAUAUAUAUAUUUAAUUCGUGUGUCGGCGCGCGGCAGUUAAAAGUACAAUUGAAAGAAGAUAAAAAUAAACUAAUGUUGCUCUCUUUGCGCUCAAUGUACUCGGCAGUCAGCAGGCAGCCUUAACUACAAUUUAAAUUAAUUAAUUUGGAAAAAAUCAACUGCAUGAAUUGCAAAUGAGGAUUACCGUUAGUUUCGAUUGAGCUGGACAAGCGUUGGGAUUGCAUUGCGAAUAAAAACAAAGGGCUUGGAGCCAUUCAACAAUCUUCUUUUGGAAUGAUAUUGAUUUUCCGUUACAUCGUUAUACACACACUCUGACCGAGUUUACACAUUAAGCCGCGCGCAAGCACACGCCCCUCUCUUUCACACCCCCUAAAAGGACUAAACGUUUCCACACACCACCUACCACCUACUCCCCAUAGAACAAAAACAACAGCGCAACAGCGAGCAAAAGCAGUUGGGGGAAUGUGUCUGUGUUUGUGUGUGUUUAUAUGAGUGUAUGGGUGUGGGCUGUUGCUGCACAGUGAUUAGAGAGUGUGCAAUGCUUGGUCGUAUUAUUAUUUGCGGUCAUCGUAACAUAAUUCGCAUAUUGGAAGCAUGAUUUAUUUGGCACUGAUCAAGUAGGGACGGACAAACAUUUUAGGGACACACAAUUGUAAAUAGCAUCAUCAAGAGCAUCAACGAGACAACAGCGACGGUGACGGUGACAGCGCAGAUUUCUUAACGGCCCCCCAUUGUAAGCGUGAGCGUGAGUGAGCGAGAGCGAACACUGUCCACCUGUAGCUCUGUUUGUGUGUGUGUGUGUGGGAGUGGAAGCAUGGCUAGACAAAGACAGCAGGUGCUAAUGCAAUACACGCAAGUUAUGGGCACCGUGUGGUGUCUGCUGAUGCUGCUGGCCCAGACCUUGGCGCAGGGCACACCCCAGCAAGUGUGCCCGGAGCAGGGCGACAUCUCGCCCUGCAUCUGCCAGGUGAAGAAGAACGGCUUGGAUAUACUCUGCGAGACAACCGAUCUGGCGCAUAUUACAAAGUCGAUGGGCACGCUAAAGGGCAAAAGUCCAAUCAUAUUUUAUCUCAAGUUGCGCCACAAUAAUCUGCCCAAGCUACAGGGAUUCGUGUUUCUGGCGCUGGACAUACGCCACCUGACCAUACACAACAGCAGCUUGGCGGCCAUUGAGGAGAACGCUCUCAGCUCACUAGGCAAAGGACUCACGCAACUGGAUGUUUCACUUAAUCAAAUGAAAACUGUCCCGUCGCAGGCUCUUCAGCAUCUUUAUCAUUUGUUAAUAUUGAAUUUGAAUCACAACAAAAUCACCGUUAUACAUAACAAUGCCUUUGAGGGUUUGGACACACUGGAAAUACUCACAUUAUAUGAAAACAAAAUUACACAGGUGGAUCCCGAAGCAUUCCGUGGCUUGGAAAAGAAAAUAAAGCGCUUAAAUCUGGGUGGCAAUGAUCUGACUGUAGUGCCACAAAAGGCGCUUUCCAUAUUGGAUACGCUGAAGAAACUCGAAAUUCAGGAGAAUAAAAUACGCAGCAUUAGCGAGGGUGACUUCGAGGGUCUACAAAAUUUGGAUUCACUGAUUUUAGCGCAUAAUAUGAUCACAACAGUGCCUGCAAAUGUAUUUUCACACUUGAGUCUGCUGAACUCAUUGGAAUUGGAGGGUAAUAAAAUAAGUGUUAUUGAUAAAGAUGCUUUCAAGGGUCUGGAGGAAAAUCUGCAGUACUUGCGCUUGGGCGAUAAUAAUAUAAAUGCCAUACCCAGUGAGGCACUGCGUCCGCUGCAUCGUCUGCGUCACCUGGACUUGCGUAACAAUAACAUUAAUGUGCUGGCUGAUGAUGCCUUUACCGGCUAUGGUGACUCCUUGACCUUCCUCAAUCUGCAGAAGAAUGACAUCAAAGUGCUGCCCAGCACGCUGUUUGAGAAUCUCAAUUCGUUGGAGACGCUGAAUUUGCAAAAUAAUAAGCUGCAACGCAUACCGCAGGACACCAUGGAACCGGUCAUUGAUACACUGCGCAUAAUUGAUAUAACUGAUAAUCCUUUGAAUUGCUCGUGUGAAUUGACCUGGUUUCCCAAGCUGCUGGAGGAUCUGAAGAACAAGGACGAUGAAAUGUCACAGAAGAAGAAGCCACUGUGCCACAUGUCGCUGGAUAAUCGUGAAUAUUUCGUUCAAGCCAUGCCCAUCGAGAAGAUGCACUGCGCCGGCCUCAAUGUGAGUCCAUCAACCACGAGCGGCGGUCUCAUGCGGAUACUGCAAGUGAACAUUUUGGCCCAAUUGGCCAUGUUUAGCGUCGCGUUUCUGAGUAGCGUUUAACCAUGCAAACUACCAACCACAACCACGCAAUCUCGCAUUUACAUUCAACACCAUACUACGACUCUAUAGCCGACUCAUAAUAUAUAUUAUAGAGAAUCCGUGAAUUAUGCAACUCUGGCAAUUGUUAAACUCAAAAUGCACGCCACGCCGCGAGGCAACAACCACAACAACAACAACCAGAACAGCUACAACAACAACAAGAACAACAGCAAUAGAAAUUUCACCCGCAAGUGCCCCCAACGAUAAGAAAACAAAUUAAUAUUAAAUUCAAAAGCAAUUUUUACACACCCACCUUGUUGAAAUGAGCAAACAUUGAUGCCAAUGCCAUAUGAGAUAAAAAAUAACGCGCAAAUAAUUAAAUCAUGCACAUAUCACACAUACGCACAGUAGCCCGACAGCCGCUGUUUAACUUUUGUAGAAAUGUACGUUAAUUGUUAAUGUUAGCGCCUUGCUUGCAAUAUUAACUUGAAACUAGAAUUAAGUAUGAAAAAAAAAACACGCAAACAUAUCAGAGAAAACGUGAAUUAUCCAAGAAACUACCAAAAUGGAAAUUAAGCGAUAUUAUUAUAAACUAUGACUAUUAUUAUUAUUAUGAUUAUUCUAUGUGUAAUAUCAAUGUACCUACUAUUUACUAUUUAUUAUGUCGUCGUCUUGUCGUCGCUGUUGUGAGAUACAAUCAUUAUAAACAAAAAGAGAUACUGUUUUAUUCCCCCAAACAUUGUUUACACACUUUUAUUGAAGUUUUUUAUUAAACUAGUCG